rnacentral:rRNA from 1 species
GACGAACGCUGGCGGCGUGCCUAACACAUGUAAGUCGAACGGAGCACUUCGGUGCUUAGUGGCGAACGGGUGAGUAACGCGUGAGAAACCUGCCUUUCAGUGGGGGACAACAGUGGGAAACUACUGCUAAUACCGCAUAAUGAUAUUUGGGGGCAUCCCCGAAUAACCAAAGAUUUAUUGCUGAAAGAUGGUCUCGGGUCUGAUUAGCUAGUUGGUGAGGUAACGGCUCACCAAGGCGACGAUCAGUAGACGGUCUGAGAGGAUGAACGGCCACAUUGGGACUGAGAUACGGCCCAGACUCCUACGGGAGGCAGCAGUGGGGAAUAUUGGGCAAUGGGCGAAAGCCUGACCCAGCAACGCCGCGUGAAGGAAGAAGGCCUUCGGGUUGUAAACUUCUUUUACCAGGGACGAACAAAUGACGGUACCUGGAGAAAAAGCAACGGCUAACUACGUGCCAGCCGCCGCAGUAAGAC